rnacentral:rRNA from 1 species
GGGGGCUAGCGUUAUCCGGAUUUACUGGGCGUAAAGGGUGCGUAGGCGGUCUUUCAAGUCAGGAGUGAAAGGCUACGGCUGAACCGUUGUAAGCUCUUGAAGCUGGGAGCCUGGAGUGCAGGGGAGGAGGGUGGCAUUCCUAGUGGGUGGGUUAACUGGGUAGGUAAUAGGAGGAACACCAGUUGCGAGGGCGGCUCGCUGGACUGUAACGGACGGUGAGGAACGAAAGCGUGGGGAGCAAACAGGAUUAGAUGCCCUGGGAGUCCAGGCAGUAAACGAUGAGUACUAGGUGUCGGGGGUUACCCCC